CUAAAAAUCUAGCCCACCACCCCCCCCCCUUUUUUUUAAGAUGAACCAAAAUAUUUUUGCAGUCCAGUAAAGAAGAUUAAAAAACUUUUAAGAGCUAUAAACUUGUACCGCAAGGGAAACAUGAAAUAAAAAUGAAAUAAAUUUUAAGCACAAAAAAGUAGAGACCCACCCUCGUACCUUUUGCAUCAUGGUCUAGCUAGUCUAAUUAGGCAAAAAGACCUUAAGUCUAACUCCCCGAAACUAAGUGAGCUAUUUUAGGGCCGCUUAAUGAGCCCACCCAUCUAUGUUGCAAAAUAGUGGGAUGACCCUAAAAUAGGGGUGACAAACCUAACGAACUUAGUGAUAGCUGGUUUCUCAAGAAAAGAAUCUUAGUCCAACCUAAAGUAAUUCUAAAUUAAAUAAUUUAUCUCCUUAUUUUAGAGCAAUUCAAAUGAGGUACAGCCCAUUUGACCCAGGAUCCAACCUUCACUAACGGGUCACACUUAAUUUACACCCACAAGUAGGCCCAAAAGCAGCCACCUUUUAAAAAGCGUCAAAGCUUAACUACGUGCACUUUAAUCCGUAGAUUCCCAUCGAACCCUUUAGCCAUACUGAGAACUUCUAUAACAUUAUAGAACCUUUUAUGCUAGAACUAGUAACAAGAGGCAAUCCCUCUCCUUAAUGCAAACUUAAGCCAGCAAGAACCCAUCACUGGCAACUAACAGACCUAAACAAGUAGCAACCCCUACAAGAAAACCCUACUUUUACUUCUGUUAACCUAACACUAGAGCAUUUCAAGAAAGAUUAAUAGAAAAAGAAGGAACUCGGCAAACAUUAGCCUCGCCUGUUUACCAAAAACAUCGCCUCUUGCCCCCCCCCCCUAAGAGGUCCAGCCUGCCCAGUGACUUUGUUCAACGGCCGCGGUAUCCUAACCGUGCAAAGGUAGCGUAAUCACUUGUCUUCUAAAUAAAGACCAGUAUGAAAGGCAUCACGAAGACUAAGCUGUCUCCUUUUUCUAAUCAGUGAACCUAUUUUCCCCGUGAAGAAACGGGGAUUCUCCUAUAAGACGAGAAGACCCUAUGGAGCUUUAAACAUUAUAACACUUGCUAUUCAUUUUAAAUAUUCUGAUAUCCAUUUCUUCUAAAGCAGGCUAAUUACUAGUUUUUGGUUGGGGUGACCGCGGAGAAAAACCUAUCCUCCACAAUGAAAGAGGGUACCCCCCUCUAAACAAUAAGUUACAACUUUAUGUAUCAACAAAUUGACAUCCAUUGACCCAAUAAAUUGAUCAACGAACCAAGUUACCCUAGGGAUAACAGCGCAAUCCACUUCGAGAGCCCCUAUCGACAAGUGGGCUUACGACCUCGAUGUUGGAUCGGGGUAUCCCAGUGGUGCAGCCGCUACUAAAGGUUCGUUUGUUCAACGAUUAAAACCCCACGUGAUCUGAGUUCAGACCGGAGUAAUCCAGGUCAGUUUCUAUCUAUAAAAGAGCUUUUUUUAGUACGAAAGGACCAAAAUAGCAUGGCCAAUACCCCCUCAAGCCAUAGUUAAUCAUUCUUGACCUCAACUAAAAAGAUUAUUAACCUCCUCCCUUCCCU
rnacentral:rRNA from 1 species